UUUUUUUAUGGAGAGUUUGAUCCUGGCUCAGGACGAACGCUGGCGGCGUGCUUAACACAUGCAAGUCGAACGGAAAGGCCUAGCUUGCUAGGUACUCGAGUGGCGAACGGGUGAGUAACACGUGGGUGAUCUGCCUCGUACUUCGGGAUAAGCCUGGGAAACUGGGUCUAAUACUGGAUAGGACCAUGCUUUAGUGUGUGUGGUGGAAAGUUUUUUCGGUACGAGAUGAGCCCGCGGCCUAUCAGCUUGUUGGUGGGGUAAUGGCCUACCAAGGCGUCGACGGGUAGCCGGCCUGAGAGGGUGGACGGCCACAUUGGGACUGAGAUACGGCCCAGACUCCUACGGGAGGCAGCAGUGGGGAAUAUUGCACAAUGGGCGCAAGCCUGAUGCAGCGACGCCGCGUGGGGGAUGACGGCCUUCGGGUUGUAAACCUCUUUCGCUAGGGACGAAGCUUUUUGUGACGGUACCUAGAUAAGAAGCACCGGCUAACUACGUGCCAGCAGCCGCGGUAAUACGUAGGGUGCGAGCGUUGUCCGGAAUUACUGGGCGUAAAGAGCUCGUAGGUGGUUUGUCGCGUCGUCUGUGAAAUUCCGGGGCUUAACUUCGGGCGUGCAGGCGAUACGGGCAUAACUUGAGUGCUGUAGGGGAGACUGGAAUUCCUGGUGUAGCGGUGGAAUGCGCAGAUAUCAGGAGGAACACCGAUGGCGAAGGCAGGUCUCUGGGCAGUAACUGACGCUGAGGAGCGAAAGCAUGGGGAGCGAACAGGAUUAGAUACCCUGGUAGUCCAUGCCGUAAACGGUGGGCGCUAGGUGUGAGGGUCUUCCACGACUUUCGUGCCGUAGCUAACGCAUUAAGCGCCCCGCCUGGGGAGUACGGCCGCAAGGCUAAAACUCAAAGGAAUUGACGGGGGCCCGCACAAGCGGCGGAGCAUGUGGAUUAAUUCGAUGCAACGCGAAGAACCUUACCUGGGCUUGACAUAUGCAGGAUCGGCGUAGAGAUACGUUUUCCCUUGUGGUCUGUAUACAGGUGGUGCAUGGUUGUCGUCAGCUCGUGUCGUGAGAUGUUGGGUUAAGUCCCGCAACGAGCGCAACCCUUGUCUUAUGUUGCCAGCACGUGAUGGUGGGGACUCAUGAGAGACUGCCGGGGUUAACUCGGAGGAAGGUGGGGAUGACGUCAAAUCAUCAUGCCCCUUAUGUCCAGGGCUUCACACAUGCUACAAUGGUCGGUACAACGCGCUGCGAGCCUGUGAGGGUGAGCGAAUCGCUGAAAGCCGGCCUCAGUUCGGAUUGGGGUCUGCAACUCGACCCCAUGAAGUCGGAGUCGCUAGUAAUCGCAGAUCAGCAACGCUGCGGUGAAUACGUUCCCGGGCCUUGUACACACCGCCCGUCACGUCAUGAAAGUUGGUAACACCCGAAGCCAGUGGCCUAACCCUUGUGGGGGGAGCUGUCGAAGGUGGGAUCGGCGAUUGGGACGAAGUCGUAACAAGGUAGCCGUACCGGAAGGUGCGGCUGGAUCACCUCCUUUCUAAGGAG
rnacentral:rRNA from 1 species